rnacentral:rRNA from 1 species
GACGAACGCUGGCGGCGUGCUUAACACAUGCAAGUCGAGCGGAAAGGCCCUGCUUUUGUGGGGUGCUCGAGUGGCGAACGGGUGAGUAACACGUGAGUAACCUGCCCUUGACUUUGGGAUAACUACAGGAAACUGGGGCUAAUACCGGAUAGGAGCUCCUGCUGCAUGGUGGGGGUUGGAAAGUUUCGGCGGUUGGGGAUGGACUCGCGGCUUAUCAGCUUGUUGGUGGGGUAGUGGCUUACCAAGGCUUUGACGGGUAGCCGGCCUGAGAGGGUGACCGGCCACAUUGGGACUGAGAUACGGCCCAGACUCCUACGGGAGGCAGCAGUGGGGAAUAUUGCACAAUGGGCGGAAGCCUGAUGCAGCAACGCCGCGUGCGGGAUGACGGCCUUCGGGUUGUAAACCGCUUUCGCCUGUGACGAAGCGUGAGUGACGGUAAUGGGUAAAGAAGCACCGGCUAACUACGUG